rnacentral:rRNA from 1 species
GAUGAACGCUAGCGGCAGGCUUAACACAUGCAAGUCGAACGCCCCGCAAGGGGAGUGGCAGACGGGUGAGUAACGCGUGGGAACAUACCCAUCACUACGGAAUAACUCAGGGAAACUUGUGCUAAUACCGUAUACGACCGAGAGGUGAAAGAUUUAUCGGUGAUGGAUUGGCCCGCGUUGGAUUAGCUAGUUGGUGGGGUAAAGGCCUACCAAGGCGACGAUCCAUAGCUGGUCUGAGAGGAUGAUCAGCCACAUUGGGACUGAGACACGGCCCAAACUCCUACGGGAGGCAGCAGUGGGGAAUAUUGGACAAUGGGCGCAAGCCUGAUCCAGCCAUGCCGCGUGAGUGAUGAAGGCCUUAGGGUUGUAAAGCUCUUUCACCGGAGAAGAUAAUGACGGUAUCCGGAGAAGAAGCCCCGGCUAACUUCGUGCCAGCCGCCGCCGUAA